GAUGAACGCUAGCGGCAGGCUUAACACAUGCAAGUCGAGGGGUAUAGGUUUUCGGACCUAGAGACCGGCGCACGGGUGCGUAACGCGUAUGCAAUCUGCCUUUAACAGAGGGAUAGCCCAGAGAACUUUGGAUUAAUACCUCAUAGUAUUAUGUUGUGGCAUCACAAUAUAAUUAAAGUUCCAACGGUGAAAGAUGAGCAUGCGUCCCAUUAGCUAGAUGGUAAGGUAACGGCUGACCAUGGCGACGGUUGGUAGGGGUCCUGAGAGGGACAUCCCCCACACUUGUACUGAGAGACGGCCCAGACUCCUACGGGAGGCAGCAGUGGGUAAUAUUGGUCAAUGGACGCAAGUCUGAACCAUCCAUGCCGCGUGCAGGAUGACGGUCCUAUGGAUUGUAAACUGCUUUUGUACGAGAAGAAACACUCCUUCGUGAAGGAGCUUGACGGUAUCGUAAGAAUAAGGAUCGGCUAACUCCGUGCCAGCCGCCGCAGUAAAAC
rnacentral:rRNA from 1 species